UCACGUAGAUAUUUUUUUUCUGCCAAUGUUAUUUUUAUAAUUAUCUUACUUAAUUAUUUUUUAUAGUUUAUUUGGCAACCUUAUUCGAAAGAUGUUAUUAAUGGAUUGCCUGAGUGGUGUCGGUCAGGACAACGCGUCUGGAUGGCACAUGUGCCACUGAUUUAUGAAAUUUAUCGUGAAUGGCACAUGGUUGAUCGUGUUGUGAGACAGUUCGUUUAUUUACAACAUAUUUCUGGACCGUGUACCCAAUUUUCCGAACAUCAUUUUAAGCGUGAUAAAUGAUUCUAAAUAAAACAAGAAGAUAUAGAUGCAUUUAACUACACACAAUAUUUAUGGGAACAACGUCAAAAUCGUAUAUUUUGACCUUCAUUUGUAAGUGAUCAAACAGAUAUUUCGUUGGUACAUGAGGCAUACCCGCAUGGUCAUUGGAAAUUCACAACAUGUUGUACAAAAAGGGUAUCAACACAUGGCAGGAAGACAUGAGGCAUUAGCUAGGGGUCAUGAAAUGCAGUAUCGUCGAGCUCGGAUGAUUGAAAAUGAUGAAAAUCAAUCUAAUGAAAUGAGACAAUAUGCAGAGGAAGUCGAGGUUGAAGGACCGCUGGUGAAACAGUUGAUUUUUCUGCAGGGCCCUCUAACACUAAUGUGGCGACUCCCGAGCCUUAUUAUCCCAUGUUUGAUUUUUCUACAGGGCCCUAUAACACUAAUGUUAAUUUUUCUAGUCAGCAAACAGUUGGUUUUGUAACUUUACAUGUUUCAAUAUCUGGUUUUGUGCAAUUUAGUGGAUCUCAAUAUGGUAUUCAACAUGGUAUGCGUGAAUUUCGUAUACAUAAUUCUCCAUUUGGUGGAAGAUUGAAUUUUUCGAAUGUAACUGUGUCCGAUGAUUCAAGAUUUAAUGCUGGGGCUUCACAAAAUUUAGUUCUUAAUAGACAAAAUCCACCUCGGAGAACAUCUAGGCUACACAAAUCAACUAGAUGUGGAACAAGCAGUCACUAUCAAAAUGAGGAAGAUUUUGAAAAUGAAGAUGUAGAAGAUUCGAAUUUAGAAGAAUAAUUUUUAUGCACCUUUAUUCUAAAAGGCUGAAGAUUUGAAUUUUGAAAUAUGUAAAUUUUGUUGUUUCGUGCAAGUUUGAACAAAGUAAUGAGAUUCUUCCUUCUUUCUUUUUUUA